GAUGAACGCUGGCGGCGUGCUUGAUACAUGCAAGUCGAACGGAGAGUGUAGCAAUAUACUCUUAGUGGCGAACGGGUGAGUAACGCGUUGGUGACCUGCCCCGAAGCGAGGGAUAACAGUUCGAAAGAACUGCUAAUACCUCAUGUGAUCACCGGUUUUAGAAUCUGGUGAUUAAAGGUGAAAAUCACUUCGGGAGGGGCCUGCGUCCCAUCAGCUAGUUGGUAGGGUAAUGGCUUACCAAGGCGAUGACGGGUAGGGGACCUGAGAGGGUGGCCCCCCACAAUGGAACUGAAACACGGUCCAUACACCUACGGGUGGCAGCAGUAGGGAAUAUUGCAAAUGGGCGAAAAGCCUGAUGUAGCAACGCCGCGUGUGCGAUGAAGGUCUUCGGAUUGUAAAGCACUUUUUGGAGGGAUGAGGAAGGACAGUACCUCCAGAAUAAGCCUCGGCUAACUACGUGCCAGCAGCCGCGGUAAUCUUCUACG
rnacentral:rRNA from 1 species